rnacentral:rRNA from 1 species
AACGAACGCUGGCGGCAUGCCUAACACAUGCAAGUCGAACGGGAUCCUAGCUUGCUAGGUGAGAGUGGCGGACGGGUGAGUAACACGUGGGAAUCUGCCUUUUGGUUCGGGAUAACCGCGGGAAACUGCGGCUAAUACCGAAUGCCCUCGAGAGAGGAAAGAUUUAUCGCCAGAAGAGGAGCCCGCGUCCGAUUAGGUAGUUGGUGGGGUAAAGGCCUACCAAGCCGACGAUCGGUAGCUGGUCUGAGAGGAUGAUCAGCCACACUGGGACUGAGAUACGGCCCAGACUCCUACGGGAGGCAGCAGUGGGGAAUAUUGGACAAUGGGGGGCAACCCUGAUCCAGCAAUGCCGCGUGAGUGAUGAAGGCCUUAGGGUUGUAAAGCUCUUUUGCCAGGGAAGAUGAUGACUGUACCUGGAGAAU